rnacentral:rRNA from 1 species
AACCUGUUGAUCCUGCCAGUAGUCAUACGCUUGUCUCAAGAUUAAGCCAUGCAUGUCUAAGUAUAACAAUUUGUACUGUGAACUGCGAAUGCUCAUUAUAUCAGUUAUAGUCUACUUGGCAGUACCUUACUACUUGGAUACCGUAGUAAUUCUAGAGCUAAUACAUGCGUAAAUCCCAAUGCUUGUCGGACGGUAGCAUUUAUAGAUUGAAUCUCAGCUCGGUCGGUAUUGUGUUGAAUCAUAUAACUGUGCGGAUCUCAGUCACCUCUAAGUCAAUUGAGUUUCUGCCCUAUCAGCUUGGAUGGUAGGAUAUGGGCUGGUACGGUUAACGGUACGGGAUAGGUUGAUUCCGGAGAGGAGCCUUAGAAACCACAUCCAAGGGAAGGCAGCAGCGCGUAAAAUCUGAGACUGCCAAGGUAGUGACAACAAAAUAAAUAACAGUCUGGCAAUUGGAAUGAGAACAAUUUAAGAUCAAUUGGAGGGGGAGGGCAAGUACUGGUGCCUGGUGCCAGCAGCCGCGGUCGUAUAUUAAAGUUGCAGUUAAAAAACGCUGGAUUUCGUGGGUCGAGUUUAUCUACUAGUGGAUGUCGUUUGGGCCCAGUUUAGUGAGGGGCGGGGCGCUUCUGCCGGUGGUUGUGUCGACUUGAGGACUUUGCAUCGUGUUUAAAGCAGAAAGCAGGCGUUUGCUCAUUGAAUACAUUAGCAUGUGGUCUAUUUUGUUCCUUGGUGGUCUUAAUGAUUAAUAGGGACAAUAGGACAGUUGGGGUGUAUUCAUAUUUAAUUCUUGGAUCGUUGAUCGUUGAAGAUGAGCUUAGGCUUAGGCGAAAGCAUUUAUGUUUCAUUAAUCAAGAACGAAGUUAGGGAUCGAAGAUGAUUAGAUACCAUCGUAGUCUUAACCAUAACUCGGGAUUGGCAGUCGUUAGUCGUUAUUUGAAUGACCUUGUCAGCACGUAUGAAAGUUCGUUUCGGGUCGGGGAGUAUGGCUGAAACUUAAAGGAAUUGACGGAAAGGGGGCACCACCAGGAGUGGAGCGGCUUAAUUGACUCAACACUUACCAGGUCCAGACAUAGUAAAGUAGGAUUGACAGAUUGAGAGCUUUUUUCUAUGGGUGGCUUAGUUGGUGGAGUGAUUUGUCUGGUUAAUUCUGGUUAAUCCGUUAACGACGAGUGCUAAAUAGUUCUGCUUACUUACCAAUUGGUAGGUAUGGACUUCUUAGAGGGACUUCAGUGACUAACUGAAGGAAGUUGAGGCAAUACAGGUCUGUGAUGCCCUUAGAUGUCUGGCCGCACGCGCGCUACACUGAUACGCUCACGAGUAUCUUGAUCGAUAGGUCUGGGUAAUCCUUUUGAAUACGUAUAGGGAUAGAUUAUUAUUGCAAUUAUAAUCUUGAGGGAAAUUCCUAGUAAACGCAAGUCAUCAGCUGCAUUGAUCGUCCCUUUGUACACCGCCCGUCGACACCUUGGGACUGUGUGAAUGUGUGCUUUCAUUGCAUGCAAGUUUGUGGCAUGCUCCUUCGCCAUUUUAGUAACCUCGCCAUUCGUAACAAGGUGCGGAAGGAUGAAGGAUCGAUUCCACAUUAC